UAGUAAUCUCUAAAAAUUCAUACUAGCAUGCCACUAGUGGAGGCUCUCUGAAGCGCUAAAUUUGUACUUCUUUACGAUUCUAAAAUUCAUGCAGGAUUCGUCCAGCUUAGGCUGCCCUUUUCAGGUUUCUGGAUUCUGGGAAGCUCAAUUACAAGCCCGAGGCUGGCAUGAAGUAGUGAACAAUUAACAAGGCUGUCAGCCUCAGCCUGGGGUCUCUCAAUCCAGCAUUUACCCAGAACCCAGCAGAGACAGGGCUGCGGACAGAUCAACCUGGCUAUGACCCAAUGAGAAUUCUGCUUCAUGGAAAGAGAGAGAAUGUGCUCUCCCAAAGCCUGAUCUUAAGGAGGAACUGACAUCGGUCUCCGGAAAACCAGGAGAAUAAGGCCAACACUACUCAGCUUCUGCUUGUGGCCAUCUACCGACAGGCCUCCGCUGCUCAGAAAACUUGGGGACAGCCUGUGACGCAAAGAGGAGCGCAGGAACGGAGGCUGGCAGAGGAGCCCAGCUCCCAAAGAUUCUCCUGAUCAGUAGUGGUGGCUCAAGGCGCCUGACACAUGGAUGCGCUCUGAUUUCUGAGUUUCCUCAAAAUACUCACUCUGUAACAAAUUGUAAAUUACUGUACUCAAUUUUGUCUAAUAGAUUCUGCAUUGAUCUAUGUGAUGAAAAUAUGUUGAUUAUAAAAGUAAAUGCAUUAUCAAAAUCUAAGGAAUAUUAUCCCACAAUGACGAGUGUAUUUAAUAUUCAUCUCUUCUUCAUUCUCUAAUUGGAUUCUGUUCAAGGCCAUAAGCAUGUUUCUAUGUGUUACUCCUCUUAAAACAGUAAAUAAGUAAUUUGGACAGCAAUAAUGCAGAGAUAACCUCAGAACAGCAUGUAGCCCAAAUCCGUUUAGCCCAUGUUUGUUGGAUAGUGAAAGAAUGAAGAAAUAAACAAAUGGACAGAUGAAAGAUGAAAAGCUUAGCUUUUAAGAUUGGUGCUAAAAACAUUCUAAAGGAGAACCUGGCCCACUUCUUCCCAAUGUGUUAACUUGGAUGACUUUCCACACCCUAAGGUGUCACUAAAUAACAGUCAGAACUGUUGUCAACGUGAAAGGAAACACCUCAUUCCAGCUUUUUCUAAAAGGUGAACUGGUGUGACCUGGCUGCGUUUUCUCGCCCUGUGCACUUGACUCUUUCCCUGGGAAGCAGGCUCUGGUAAAAAGAUGUGACUCAUCCUGGGCGGCCACAGGCACCACGACACUGUACAGACACAUUUCUCUAGGCAACCAACUCAACAAAGAACCCAGAGGGAGAUUUCCAUGGACAGGUUGAUUGGAAAAUCAGAAAUUCUCCAAAAUCUGAAACUCUUUGAGCCACAAGCAGAUACUGCACUAGCCCUCGUGUGACAGAUCACUAGACUAGGGCAGGCAUACAAACAACAAAGACGAAAGCACUUUCAGCCUGUGUCUUUGAGAUACAAAUGAGACACAGUGAAUCUUCUGUUUGUAUUUAGAUCCUGUCAAUCCCAACAUAGCUUUAUUAAUAUGUGUACAAAUAUCCCCAAAUCUGAAAACUCAAACCCACUGGUUCUAGGCACAGAAGGUAUCGCUUGAUGAUACUGGGUCUGGAAAGAUUUCUUUGUUGGCACAGUGCCUGCUAUGCAAGCAGAAGGACCUGAAUUUGGAUUCCCCAUAGCCACAGAAGAGCUGAGUGUGAUUCCCCAAGUCUGUAACUUAGUACUCAGGGGACAGAGACAGGUAAGCUUGCUGAUAAACCAGCCUAGCCUGGGACUCAGUAAGAGACCCUGUCUCAGAGAAUACAGAGGAGAGAAUGAUGCAAGACUAAGACUAAGACUAAGUGAUAGGACAUCCACCUACUAAGUGAUAGAACACCCACCUACUAAGUGAUAGAACACCCACCUACUAAGUGGCAACCAUGGCUUUGAAUUUUCGAUGUCGUAAUUGAUAGUUACAUUGACUGAAACUUAAGAAAAACCCACUCAGUAGAGGCCGUUUCUGUCUCCCUGGGACAGUGGAUGGAGGCAAGUAUCCCUGGCAGUGCAGAACUCCUCUGUG
rnacentral:lncRNA from 1 species